rnacentral:lncRNA from 1 species
CCUUCCAAAUCCGCAACCCACGAACAAUCAAAAUCUUUUCAAAUUCGCGAAGUCCUCUCUCCCCAGUUCACUCUGGCGGUGGCAGCCCCGAUCUCAGCAACAAAGGCGGCGACGGCGGCGGCGAGCAGGAGAAGAAUUUUUUCAACCAUCUGCACCCAUACACAACUCUCUAUGUAGCUAAAAAUUGGUGGUUCCAGACGACGGCGUUGUCGAGGAAGAGAAAUUUGAAGGGGUGG